rnacentral:lncRNA from 1 species
AAAACAGAUAACAAAAUAAAAAUUCAAACAGAAGAGAGAAAGCAAGAUAUUGGUAUUCACAGAAGCUGAAGAAAAUAAUUAAUAAUUUGUUUUGAGAUCAUAUCAUACCACGUCAGUAUCCUCCCAAACUCGUAUGAGUUUGCUAUAGCUCAGGUCAACAGCAACUAGGUUUGGCUGAUCGAAAUCUUCAGGUAUGACCUCCAGAGGAAAUCCAUGCCAACACAACCAUCUUAACUCUUUGGAAAGAUUUUGGUAACUUCCAGUGAGCUUUAUGUUAUUGAGUUUGAGCAAUCUCAGACUCUGCAUCUUUCUAAAUGCUUCUGUACUGAAGCUACACUCAUCAGACUCUUGCAUAUCUAAAGCGAGUCCUUCAACGUCUUCCGUUCCCUAUUCAAGGAAAAGAAAAAGGAACAAAGUAAGACAAAAUUUAUUUUGGCGUGAAAAGAGAAUUUAUUCACAUGAAGAAAGCCAUGAAUUGGAUGCAUGAACUAGAAUUCAGUUGUGAUUUACAUUUUACCAUAUUAAUUAGGUAUCUUAGUCGGCAUCGGUUACACGGUGUUACUUUACGUAUUACUAAACCCUUGGCACACGCGUGUGCCUUUAAAUUGUUUUGGACUUCUAUUUUUGAAUUUAAAAAAGGAAAAAUAUGGGUGGAGGGUUGGAGGGGUGAGGCUAACUGCUUCAGCAUUUACUGGAGAGAUUUUCCAGUGUGACGGACACACGGGAUGGUACAUCAUGUGUUACUAUACAAAUAGUGAGAUAUGUGUGCUUAAAAGUUAAUAACUUAAAAAAUAUAAUUUUCCACCACUUGUAUAAAAUUAUGUGUGUACCACUCGUGUUCCGGUUACAAUAAAAAAUUUCUCCAUCUACUGCGUGGGUUUGGGGUUUUUAAUUUUAAAAAUUAAUUAUUGAAAUAAUAUAGGUGGCAUAUACUUAUCCCUUAAAGAAGUUCAUAUUUAACAUAAGAUUUGAUUGCCGAAGUACUUACAGAUUUUUCCCCCAAAACGUCCUUUACAUCCGCAUGGUGCCACAAUCUACUACGUUUUCCAGGAUGGUCAGGGGAUUGUGCAUAUACGAUUUCUCUGGCCAUGUCUCGAAUCAAGUUAUGCAUCAUCAGAUCGCCCUUUGUAUCAACAGUUACAAGGCAUUUAUCUUGGAGUUCUCGAAUUCCUCCCACUGGAUAUAAGCCACGGUCAUCCAAUAUUGUCUCGACAUAGUUCUCGUUCAUUCCAAUAAAGAAACAGCCUAUAUCCAGGAAUACAUCCUUCAGGCGAUCAUUUAGCCCAUCAUAGCUUAUUUUAAGUCUUCUAUGAAUCUCCCUAGGACGAUGUCUUUUCCAUUUAUCCAGUUCAGUUUCCCAUUCAUUUUUACUUCUUGUACACAGAUAAGAACCUAAGACUUGUAGUGCUAGUGCUACUCCUCCACAGUCGCCAAGAGCUUUUCUUGAGAGCUCAACAUACUCUUCAUUAGGAUAACUCUUACCAAAGGCAUACCAACUAAGCAGCUCAAGAGCUUCUUCGUCAUUCAGUCCUUGCACAGGACAUAUCGCAUCCACAUUAAACAUCCUUAGCAAAUGUUGAUCUCUUGUUGUUAUGAUAAUUCUACUUCCUCGACCAAAUGAGUUACCACUUAUACCCAAUGCAUUUAACUGUACAUGGCUGUCUACAUCAUCUACUAUGACAAGCACUCUUUUGUUGCCAAGUCUUCUUUUAAUCUCCUUGGUCCCUUCAUCGUCGCUACUAACCUUCAUGUUUCCCGAUCCCAAGAUAUCAGAAAGUAGUUUGUUCUGUGAAUGAACCAGUUUCUUCUCUUUUCUCACAUUUGGAAGAAAGCUUGCACCAUCAAAACUACCAUGAUGUUUGUUGAAAACGGCUUUUGCAACCGUUGUUUUACCCAGUCCGCCCAUGCCCCAGAUUCCAAUGACACGGACAUCAUUUGAUCCUACAACAUCUAAAUAAUUACUGAUUUCUUGCACACGAGAAUCUAUUCCAACUGGGUGUCUGGCUACGUCCAAAUAAUUGCUCUUCAGUUCUCUACUGAUUCCUUCAUACCUGAUAGGUAAAAUUCAAUUCAAAAUUAAGCAAAAGUAAGAUUUACUAAUAAACGGCACAAUUAAAUUGAACUAAUAUCUUGCCCAUUAUGACUAGAGAGCUUGGGAGUGGAAGAUUUGAAAGCCCAGUGAUGAAUCAAAAUCUUCGAAAAUCAUUAAAGCAUUAAACCACACAUGACACAGAUUUCUCAUGGAAGAGUCUGGAAGCUCUACAUUGCAAUGUGUAAAAUCAAUUACUCCAAGGCGUAGUUAUGAUAAUUCAUUGUUUCUUGACAUUUGAUAAAUAUGAGAGUUCAAUAGACCAAUACAUUAUGUAGCCAAUUAAUAACUUUUGUUAGAAGGAAUGGCAAAUUACAAAAAAUACAAAAUAUAGGAAAGGAAAAAAGAAAUAAGAAAGUACCCAUGAGCACCCAAUAACCAAUCCGGAUGUUGGCCAAAAUCAUAUAGAAGCAAGUCUGAAUCAUGCAUAUUUUCCUUCAUAAAGUUGUCCCAUACUAGAUUAACCCCUAUUUCCUUCACACUCACAGAAGCAUCUGCAGGUUCAACAGGCUUUACAAAUAUAUCAACCUUGUCCCCCCCUUGCAAACUGAGCACAUAAUUCGAUAUAUGUCCCUGCCAAAGAUAAUGGUCAUCAAGCGUACAGGAAGUUGGUACUGAGGCAUAUGUUAUCCGGGCGAGCACAGCAGUACACUUGGUUUUAUUGCUAAUGAUAAUGCCGAGAGGACCUUCACGUUGUUCCUUUGAAGAGUAUAUGCAGCACAAAGUCAACCCGCUAAAACUGCGACCAACAAUUGGAGGUACGUGAAAGCUGACCAGAUCACCCUUGACAAAAUCAAACCAGUCAGGAAGAUAAUUUCCAUUGAAAAAAAUGCCACCAUAUCCGCAAGAAGUCCAUCCCUGUACCAUGUAGAGCCAGAUUUGUAACAACAAUACAUUGUUAUGCAUGCAUGUGUCAUAUAUAUGUGCUUCUGUGUGUGUAGUAGAAAGAGAGAAAACAGGCUAGAAAGAAAGAGAGACCUGUAGGAUGUUGUUCCUAAAAUCAGCAGUGAGAUUGAUGCACCCUUCCAUAUGAAUUCUUGUCAGAGUUUAAUGACUUAUCCAAGCCCGGAAUGUCUGUGAGUUUGCAUGAAUGACUUAGAUACAGCUCUCUCAUACUCAACAAUUCUGAAAAAUCUGGCAUUGUUUCUAGUGCAGUGCACAAACCCGCUCGCAACACUUUCAAAUUUGUUGGUAAAUUUGGGAUUGCAUGUAGGUUUGUGCAAUCAUCUAAACACAAUGUUUCAAGCUUAGAAAGACCACUGAGGCUUGGUAAGCUACAAAAACUAUUUUUUCGAAGAUCUAAGUCUUCUAAAGAAAUUAGACUCCCAAGAUCUUUCGGGAUUUUGUCAUCAGUCAAAGUGCAGCAUCCGAGAUCUAAUUUCCGUAAAUAGUUUAUGCCAUGUAAAGAAGGGGGCAAAAGACUAGUUGAUGGUGACUCUUUCAAAACAUAUUGAGAUGAAAAACUCAGCCUUAGUAUUUGUCUUAUGGGUGUGCCAUCUGCUGUCUUCUGGUAACUCUUUCCCAAGCCUUCAGCCAAGUUUUCAAAUCUUGAACAGCCGUUAAGAAGAAGAGUUUCAAUAGACUUGGAAUUAAAGAAAUUCAAUGGGAGAUCCUUGAGAUUUUUGCAGCCGUCAAGAUUAACCAAAGUAAGUCUUUCAAGAUUCCCAAUGGAUGAGUGAACCUCGGACAAACUCUCACAAUCAUUCAAUAUCACUUCCUCGAGAUUUGGGAGUCUUGAGAAGUCUGGUGUUUGUGCCAGGUUAGGGGAAUGACUGAGAUUAAGAAGCUUCAACUUCUCGAGCAACUGUUAAGACAAAAGGAAAAACUAAAAUAAAUACAAAUGGAAGAGAGAAAGCAUGAAGUUGGUGUUUAUAAAACCUGGAAGAAAGAAUUAACAAUUUGGUUGAGGCCAUAUCAUACCAAAUCGGAAUCCUCCCAAACUCGUAUGAGUUUGCUAUAGCUCAGGUCAAUAGCAACUAGGUUUGGUUGAUCAAAAUCUUUUGGUAUGACCUCCAGAGGAAAUCCAUGCCAACACAACCAUCUUAACUCUUUGGAAAGAUUGU